ACAUGGCGGCGGCGGUUUGCGCUAGAACUUGGUGAAGCUGGAAUUCUGUUUGCCAGAAGCUCCUCCCCUGGACGGUUUCAGGUCAGAGUAGGUCAAAAGAGGAAUGUGCAUGAGAUUUGCAAGGCAGAAAUGAAGCAGUGACGUUCGGAAGGAAAAACCACCAGAUGUGGGGGAGAUUACUGAACCGUGGCUCUGAACUGAUGCUAAUCCCUGGAGACUCAAAAUGCCACUGUGAUCUGUCAGAGUAGCGGCUUAUGGAAGUUAAAUGAUCUUCGAAAGUUACGGCUUGGCUCCCUCUCUCAACAAGCCCAGUGGUUCCCAGAACCAUCCGAUUGUUAUUUCCUCAGCUCCAGAAGGUAUAGGCUGCUGACUUGCUUUGACCGGAGGAGUGGUGUUCGUGCCCACGGGCCACAGGCGGCCCCGUUUCAGAAGAGGAGCUCUGUUCUACAUUUGCAGCACCAGAAGUCCCCUCCAGCGGCUUUCCUAGAAGGAAGAUGGAUUAACGUUUGCUUUGAAAUGACAGUUGUUUCACAAACUUUUGCUUUAAUUAUGAAUUUAUAUUUCUGAGCAUAUUUACUGAGCUAAGAC